rnacentral:lncRNA from 1 species
GCCGAGGCAAAAAGACGUGGAGUCUAAGUCUGCCUUUAGCGGGUUGCCCGCCCCGGGCUGCGCUUCUUGUUUAUGGCGCAAGGAAUUUAAUGGAAGCAGUGGCGCGGGGGGGCGUCCUGCCCAGUACCCUCUGCGCCCUGGCCUGGCGCCUGCUACAGCCGUGGCUCCGCCGGAGGCUGCUGGAACGGCCGGACCUGGGCAGCGAGGAGACGAGCGCGCCGCGAGACCCGUGGGAAAGCGCAGAGGGCGACGGGGCCAGGCAACCGCGAGCAGCGAGCACAGAGGGCGAGGGGCCCGAGGCCAAGGCGGCGCCAGGUGAGAGACGAGGUGUGGUCUGCGGUUGCUCUUGAAGACUCCAGCCAGAAAACCAACAGACAGGGAGGGAAAGGCUGGUGACCAUGUGUUGGAAUCUCGAUAGUUGUCAUAUCUGGAUGAUGGGUAUGCGGACUCGAUGAUACUAUGCUUUAUAUUUGUGUGCAUAUAAAAUGAUCAAAAUUAAAAU